rnacentral:tRNA from 1 species
GUACCUAUAGCUCAGCUGGUUAGAGUAUUGGUUUGUGGUACCGAGGGUCGUGGGUUCGAGCCCCACUAGGUACCCCA